CAGCAACCCUUGGGCACGUCCAGGGCAAUUCUGGGGGAUGGUGUCUUGGAAAGACUGCUGAGUUCUGCUCUUGAGGCAGAAUAUUCACCCUGCAACUCCAGCUCCAAGGGAGUUCAGCAAGGGAACAUUCACUCAUAUUCCAGGGAUUCCUCAGUUGUCCCUUUUUAAAAAGGGCUGCUCCCAUGGGAGUGACAAAAUGCUGAGGUUAAAGAGUCUGAUUUGGAUCUUCUACAGCGAGGAAAGAACAUCAUUGCUGCACAAAAGUGAGAAGAAAUCUGAAGAAGUGAUUCAUUGUUUACUUCCACCACAAGGAAAAAUGUUUUUACUUCAUUAAGAAGUCCACAGCAGAGCAUUGCUGGAACCAGCAAGGAAAAGGGUUUAGAAGAACAGAACUCAACAGCAGGAUCCCAGAUGCCAAUGUAUGGUUUAUCCUUUGGGAUAAUUUCACUGCUCCAGAGCUUAAACCUAUAAAAAUAUAAACAGACAGAGGUAAA